UUGACAAAGCCCUGGCUGGGAUGAUUUAGUUGGGGAUUGGACCUGCUUUGAGCAGGGGGUUGGACUAGAUGACCUCCUGAGGUCCCUUCCAUGAAUUCUAUGAUUCUGUGUUACUCAACUAGAAAAGCUUAGCAACACAACACAGCUAUUUUAUAGAGCCAGCCACCUAACAACAGCUUCGGUAAACAAUUUGCCUCAAUGUGUCAGAAUAUUAACAUGUAUUGCAGGGUUUCUCCUCUUUCUUACCAGUCCUUAGAACGGGGGAUGGAAGAGGUAAAGCAUUUAUUGAAAAUCGGUUGCAAUUGAACUUGGAAAGAAUGUAAUGAAACUUUAUGAACAACUUUUUCCCAUAAAACUUUCACUAUUGGUGUACAGACAAUGUAAGUGUGAGAUUGCAGGGUGUAACUGUAAAAAGAGGGCUCUUACAAUGAGGUGUAAAAGACUUUAGUAUUUAAACAAAAAAAUGUAUAAUUUCAUUAAUUGCUUGGAAUAAUGUCAUAGAAAAAUAUUCUAGAUAUUUUACAUGAAAUCAAGCCUGAUGAUGAUAAAAAUAAAAUAAAAUUGUGGAUUACUUUGCCUGAAAUGUGACAGAAGCCCAGUAAAGAGACUAACUGAGAUAACCAAUAAAAGUAGCAGAAUAUAAAAUUUACUAAUAUUCAUAUUGGGUUUUUGUUGUUUUGUUUUACCCUAGCAAACCAUUGUGAUUUAGAUGUAAAGGAAUAUUAACAAGUCAGAUGCCUUUUCCUUGAGUCUGAUGUUAGGGACUAAUGAGUUUAUUGAGCCAGGUAGUUCCCUGAUGAGUAUAAAUGCAUAUAAUUCAGCACAAUUUAGUGAAAUUGCCAAGCAGUGAGGGGGCCUAUAAAUGAACUAGCAUGAAGACAGCAUUACCCAAUGAAAGGAUGAUCACUUUAGCCUAGGUCCCUUACAGCAGGACUUCAAAAACAGGGCACAUUGCACCAGGUGUGCUAUAUUAGGCUAUAGACAAGUACUUCAGAAUCAAGUGUCUGGUAUAAAUGUAUAAUGGAGAGGCAUAGCUCGUUAUAGAAACAAUUUAAUCCUGUGCUGAAGGACCACACAAGGCACUAUGUACCACUUAAGACCCUCUGAUACCUGAGAUAAGAGCUCAAGUGGUGCACAGAGGUUUCUACACAUCCCCUAUGAUCUGCAGGUCAAUAUCUCCCUUGUGCAUGGACAUCAAAUCAUAAACAAAUGCAAUCAGAUAAUAUGACCUCCAGUUUCCUGCUGUCAUAGCACAUGCAAAGUGAAAUUCUAUACUGGAACUAGUGUUGUUUAAUGUAUUUAUUAAUGGAACAAACAGUAAGCAAUGAGACAUUAAAAAUUGGAAGAAGAUACAAAAUUAUUUAGGUUGUCAAGGCCAGAGAAGAGUAAGAGGGGCUUCAGAGAGAUCCAAGAUAGGAAGGAAAAUGCAAGAUAAUGCAUGUUGGAAAGAAUAAUUUUAAUUCAUGCACCUUGCUGGAUUCUAAAUUUUUCUGUAACACUCAGCAAAAAGAUGUGGUCACCGAUAAGAACAGUUAGUCACAUUGCUUAAUACAUGACUAGAAGGCACUCAGAUGCUAUAGUGAUGAAUGCAGUAUAAGAACCUUAUCUAUAUAAAAUGGAAUAGAAUUGUGGGCAGCUCAAUGAAUGCCACUGAUCAUUGUGAAGUGACUCCAUCUCUCUGUUUUUGAGAAAUUGCUGUUACUGAGAAGGUGAAGUUGGAAUGCCUUUCCCAGAAGGUAUAUGGUGUUAAGGUAGUGGCCUGGAAAACUUAUAGUCCGUAUAUCUCUCUGGUUGAGAUACUGAAUGAAUCUGAUGAUAACAGGGAUAAAGCUAGAAUUUAAAAUCACAGUUUAUUGGAGUCUAAGGAGACAGAGAGAGAGCAAGAAUUGGAGACUGAAGCCCAGUCAAGGUUGAAGAGUGUACAGUAGAGCUGGGCAGGAACCAAAUAUUUUGGGUUUUUUUGCAAGGAAAAUUUCAUGACUUUGAAUUUUUCAAACAUUUGCAAACAAAGUGAAAAGAAAAUUGUUUAAAAUUUUCUACAAAAUGAAAUUUAGGGAAAAAAAUAGUUUCUGGUUGACAGAAACAUUUCAUUUUGAUACAAUUGAAACAUUUAUUCCAGUGUUGACCCUUUUUAUUUUAUAUUAUAUUAUAUAAAAUGUGAACAUAUAGAAAUGAAAAGUCAUUUCAAAUUGGAGAAUCACAACAUUCUUUUGAAAACGUUCACUUUCUCAAUAUCAACAUUUUGACUUUAUCUGAAUGCUAUGUUCCAUUUUUUGUUUUGUUUUUUAAGUUCAUCAAAAUCAACAAACGUCACCAAAAUGCCAUUUUCUGUCGGAAAAAUUUUCUAUCUGAAAAUGUCUGACCAGCUCUUGUGCACAGGGCAUCUCAGGGUGGUGCGCAAAGGUGAUUUAAACUCACUUUCCACAGCUCUGAUCCUGGAGAGUCUAUAUGCAAGGCUGCUGCCCUGAUCUGAUUUAGAAUAGCCUGAGGGCUGCUGUAACUUGUGCUGGCUGUCAGUGGCCUCAGAGGUUUGAAUCAGCAGGCACAAGGAAACUGUCUCUGUCAGCAGCAAGGAGAGUUGUGGAAGAGCUGGCACAGGAGCUACUAUGACAGCUCAGAUAGCCACCAGAAUCUGGUCAGUAGUUUCUCUUUUCUUUUUUGUUGUUCUUUUUCUUUGUUUCUUCUUAAGAUGUGGUUGCUGAAGUUUUUAACAUCUGCUCUGUUCCCGGCUCAGUUUCAAUCAAUGCAGCAACACUUCCUGUUGACAAAAAAAAAAAAAAAAAAAAAAAAGAGAGUCCUCUUAGCCCCAGAACUGUGUGUUUCAUACUUGUAAAACUACUAGAGCAACAAAAGGAGAUUGGCUCAUGAUAAAAUUAAUUGCCCAAGAAUUUUUUUCCUGUUUUAGACUUUAGCCUAAAAGUUUUCAAAGCCACCUAAGGAAUUUGGAAGCCUAAUUUGCAAAUAAUAUGAAAGAGAAUUGAAUGUCUAAAUCUGUCCCAGGUGUAUUUGAAAAUCUUAGCACUACUCUUCCAUAGGAAAGGUAGACUGAUGUCAAGGAGCAGCUCUGUGAGCUGACACUUUCUUCAGUGAUUAUUAUAUUGUGCAAGAGUCAGAGUGGAUUAUUAUGGAUGUUUGUAUAUUUUAGGAGUCUUGAAGAAACUCAACACUUUUUUUUUUGAGACUGGGAGGGAAGAUGAGUGUAUAUAAAGGCCUGGUUGAUUCUUUUGAUCUGGUUUUUACUAAGUUAAUCAAACAGCCUGUUUGGGUCACUCCUUUUUUUCAAAAAGAAAAGGAGUACUUGUGGCACCUUAGAGACUAACAAAUUUAUU